UAGCAAGAUUAACUUUUUUAUUAAUUUUCUCGAAGCCUGGGGAGUUACUUUGUUAUUGUUUUUAGGCAGAAAAAUGUAAAUGUAGCAAAAUUUUAUUCAUAUCAUAAAGUAGAAAUGAAAUUUUUUUCGUACUAGGAGAUAGCUAGUUUCAACAGAAAUAUAUCUACGUAUAGGUAAUCAGGUAGAAUUAGCUAUGAAUAGUUAGGUAAUUCACUGGUUUUCUAGCCUUUAGAAGGGUGAGCUUAUGAAGGAAAAGUUGUAAUACAAGGUGGAAACUUGCUGGCAUCUGAGCUUGAAAUUAGCUAAGAUUGAAAGCUUGUUUUAAAGUAUUAAUAUACCGGUUGUGUAUCGCUUAAGUUAGGUUGAUAGGCGCUUGAAUUAGAAGGUGUUGUAUUUAUGCUAAAAUGAGUAUUUUACGAGUAAUUAGAAACUAAAGUUGAUUGUUUAAUUAGAAAUAAAUGUGUUAUUUAAAAUGUGAAAAAGGAACUCGGCAUCUAUGUUUCGCCUGUUUAGCAAAAACAUGGCUCUUUG
rnacentral:rRNA from 1 species